GAUCGCGACAGGCACGAGACGGAUCGGCUGCGAAACGAGUGGCGUCGCGAGAGUUGUUUAAUUGAUCGCGACGGGCAUGCGAGACGAGUCGGCUGCGGAACGAGUGGCGUCGCGACUUAUUUAAGUGAACCAUCUUAGCUGAUAAUACGUAGCUGACAUUUCCACACCCCACCGUCAAUCGGCAAUUCCAUUUUUACCGAACAACAGGGCAACUAAACACAAUCGCCGCCGAUUGUAUAAACGGUUCGUUGCGUCGCAUUUUCGGGAGUGCCGCUCGAAAUCGUUGAAUUUUCGAAUAUGACAAUUAAAAUCGUCGCAUUUUCGGGAGUGCCGUUCGAAGUUGUCGUAUUAUCCGGAAGCGGAUCGCGCGAUUUUAA